AUUGAACGCUGGCGGCAGGCCUAACACAUGCAAGUCGAGCGAGCGGCGGACGGGUGAGUAAUGUCUGGGAAACUGCCUGAUGGAGGGGGAUAACUACUGGAAAAGGUAGCUAAUACCGCAUACCAUCAGAUGUGCCCAGGUGGGCUUAGCUAGUAUGUGGGGUAACGGCUCACCUAGGCGACGAUCCCUAGAUGGUCUGAGAGGAUGACAAGCCACACUGGAACUGGGACACGGCCCAGAAUCCUACGGUAGGCAGCAGUGGGGAAUAUUGCACAAUGGGCGCAAGCCUGAUGCAGCCAUGCCGCGUGUGUGAAGAAGGCCUUCGGGUUGUAAAGCACUUUCAGCGGGGAGGCGUUACCCGCAGAAGAAGCACCGGCUAACUCCGUGCCAGCAGCCGCGGUAAUAC
rnacentral:rRNA from 1 species